UUCCUACGGGGGGCAACAGUGAGGAAUAUUGGUCAAUGGGCGGGAGCCUGAACCAGCCAAGUCGCGUGAGGGAAGACGGUCCUAUGGAUUGUAAACCUCUUUAGGCGGGGAGCAAUGCCGGGCACGCGUGCCCGGAGGGAGAGUACCCGCAGAAUAAGCAUCGGCUAACUCCGUGCCAGCAGCCGCGGUAAUACGGAGGAUGCGAGCGUUAUCCGGAUUUAUUGGGUUUAAAGGGUGCGUAGGCGGAUUUUUACGUCAGCGGUAAACUGUCCGGGCUCAACCCGGUCCGGCCGUU
rnacentral:rRNA from 1 species